rnacentral:rRNA from 1 species
AUUGAACGCUGGCGGCAUGCCUUACACAUGCAAGUCGAACGGCAGCACGGGGCAACCUGGUGGCGAGUGGCGAACGGGUGAGUAAUGCAUCGGAACGUACCUUUCAGUGGGGGAUAACGUAGCGAAAGUUACGCUAAUACCGCAUAUUCUGUGAGCAGGAAAGCAGGGGAUCGCAAGACCUUGCGCUGAUUGAGCGGCCGGUGUCAGAUUAGCUAGGUGGUGAGGUAAAGGCUCACCAAGGCGACGAUCUGUAGCGGGUCUGAGAGGAUGAUCCGCCACACUGGAACUGAGACACGGUCCAGACUCCUACGGGAGGCAGCAGUGGGGAAUUUUGGACAAUGGGGGCAACCCUGAUCCAGCCAUGCCGCGUGAGUGAAGAAGGCCUUCGGGUUGUAAAGCUCUUUCGGCCGGGAAGAAAUCGCACGGGCUAAUACCCUGUGUGGAUGACGGUACCGGAAUAAGAAGCACCGGCUAACUACGUGCCAGCAGCCGCGGUAAGAC